rnacentral:rRNA from 1 species
CCUUUUGGUUCGGAACAACACAGGGAAACUUGUGCUAAUACCGGAUAAGCCCUUACGGGGAAAGAUUUAUCGCCGAAAGAUCGGCCCGCGUCUGAUUAGCUAGUUGGUGAGGUAAUGGCUCACCAAGGCGACGAUCAGUAGCUGGUCUGAGAGGAUGAUCAGCCACAUUGGGACUGAGACACGGCCCAAACUCCUACGGGAGGCAGCAGUGGGGAAUAUUGGACAAUGGGCGCAAGCCUGAUCCAGCCAUGCCGCGUGAGUGAUGAAGGCCCUAG